AAUAAAGUGCCUGAAACAAAAGGAUUAUCUUGAUAGGAUAAAUAAUGUAAAAAAAAUUACCUUUAUUA
rnacentral:tRNA from 1 species